UCCUCUCCAGAAUUUGUGCCUGCAAUUAAUUAUCCAUUUUGAUUAUGGGGUUAAUUUUCUUAGUCCUACGUUUUGAUUAUGGUUUUAGUUUGGAGAUUGGUGUUCUGAUUAGGGUUCCUAAAGAUGGAAAUUUGGUUGAGGGGUUUCUUCUGUUGCAGUUCAAGAAAUUCCAGGUAUUGAAAUUCCAUUUGAAAAUUCCAGAGCAUUCGACAUUGACUAGCAAGCGUGAGUGGUCUGCCGUCAAAUUGCAGGUUCUGUUGUAUAUGAUCCUGUCGAAUGUUCCGAAAUCGAAUGCUUCGGUCAUUCUCGUAUUCUCUUUACAACUGGGCUGAUAAAAGGAAUGUGCCUGCGAACCCAGAUUUUGAACGACAUUAGAGGAUUUGGGGGAAUCUAAUGUUGGAGAAUCAGUGGUUUCAAUGGAGGGAAUCGAUUAAGGCUGAAAUGGUGGUAAACUGAAAAGUUUUGAAACGGUAGUUCUGAGUAUUUUGUAAACGGUUAGAUAGUUUAGAUGCGUUGUUUACCUACAAUGGCAACUAAUGUACAUAGAUACAAUAUUAUGACCUCUUUCAUUUUAGGGGGCAUUACAAUUUGAGUUUGGGUUUUCGACGUAGUUAUAUAGAUAGAUGGGUUUGUGUCUAGGGGAUAUCAGUUGUAUGAGCUUAUAUUGGAGUCUCUCUUAAUUUAUUUAUAUUAUUGUAUAUGUAUUUAUUUAAUCUGUGAAAUAUCAAUGGUUUUUUCUACAA